rnacentral:rRNA from 1 species
CCACGGGAGGCAGCAGUAAGGAAUAUUGGUCAAUGGACGCAAGUCUGAACCAGCCAUGCCGCGUGCAGGAUGAAGGCCCUCUGGGUUGUAAACUGCUUUUAUAGGGGACGAAAAAGGGACUUUCUAGUUCAACUGACGGUACCCUAGGAAUAAGCACCGGCUAACUCCGUGCCAGCAGCCGCGGUAAUACGGAGGGUGCAAGCGUUAUCCGGAUUUACUGGGUUUAAAGGGUGCGUAGGUGGGUCGGUAAGUCAGCGGUGAAAUCUUCAAGCUUAACUUGGAAACUGCCAUUGAUACUAUCGAUCUUGAAUCAUCUGGAGGUAAGCGGAAUAUGUCAUGUAGCGGUGAAAUGCUUAGAUAUGACAUAGAACACCAAUUGCGAAGGCAGCUUACUACGGAUGUAUUGACACUGAGGCACGAAAGCGUGGGGGAGUACAACAGAUAGUAUACCUACGUAGUCGACCGACCCGUAACCGAACUAGUAGUACUACGACACUACGUGUAUAUACUAUAGUGUGUCUGAGCGAAGACAUUAAGUUA